UGUGUUAAUUUCUGCUGUAGAAAGCAAAGUGAUUCAGUUAUACAUAUACAUUAUACAAAGUUAUACAGUUAUAUAUAUACAUACAUACAUAUAUAAUCCCUCUUUUUCAAAUUCUUUUCCAUUAUGAUUUAUCACAGAAUAUUGAAUAUAGUUCCCUGUUCUAUACAGUAGGACCUUGUUAUUAAUCCAUCCUCUAUAUACUAUCUUGUAUCUGCUAAUCCCAAACUCCCAAUCCUUCCCUCACUGACCACCCCACCCCUUGGCAACUACGGGUUUUUUCUCAAUGUCUCUGAGUCUUGAAAUUUGUUCUUAUGCACUUUCUUAGAACAACAUUCUCUGCCUUCAGAGCACUGACUUCUGCGCAACUGUGUGACUGAUUGGGGCCCAUCUCUCUGACAGACUAAAAGCUUCAUGAGGGAAGGUUGAUGCUGGUUUUUCUCUUGACUUUAUUCCUGUUGCCUCAUAAGUGUGUACCUCGUAGAAGGUGCUCACCAUGUCUGGGUUAGUUCAUGAGUGAAUGCAAGAACUGAGUGAUCAGUUGAGGGUUUUAAGAAGAAGGAGGUUAUUUUAAUACUUCUAAACAAUGCACAUUCAAUAUUUUAGGACUGGAAAAUUGGGUGCUCACUCUUUCCAGAGGGCAGAUAUGGUUUUAAAAGAGUCUUCUUCCAUGCUUCUUCCCAACCUGCUUCUGGAACUAGGCCAACAGAUCACCCAGGAGCUGUGUCUCAAUGAUACCUAGACUCAGGCUCCAGCUUCUCCCUGAAUCAGUGCCAGCUGUGCUGGUGGCUUUUGAGAUGCACACAGCUUUCCUAUGAGGUCAUUACUGAUGGAAACUAUCAACACCUCUGCCCCUUGGGGAGGGUAAGAAGUCAGCUCCAUUCAAAUAAGCAUUCCUCAGGCUCCUGCCUUGGAAACACUCUCCUGUUCCUACUGCAGAUGUUUUAGUUGGAGGAACAGGAUAAAGUAUGACACUGAAGGGUGAAAAUCAGAGCAGACCCAAUACAGCUCCAUUGGGAAAGGAAUCAUGGAAGAGUUUCCAUGUGUCUUAAUACUAUCCUUCCUUUUUAUCAUCUCCUCCACUUAAUUUAGUCAAUCAGUGAAAUGCUAUUCCAAGUAGGUGCCAGUCUACACUAGGCAGGUAUCAGGAAAUGGUCACUCAUUCUGUCUCCCACAGAAUGGAAAUUACUAGAGUGUAAAAUUUUUUUAGCUUCUUGAUGCUAUCACACCAGUGUUUAAGACUAGUUUAUUUUAUAAAAAAGUCAUGUGUAGUUCUAGGUAUUAUCAUUCUUGUGUAUCAAUACAGACUAAUUGUAAGCAAAGGGAUAUAUACACCAAGAUUAUCAGGUAAUACAAAAUGCACAAGUGAGAAGGGGAGAAUUCAUUAUGUAAAAUAUGAGCAAGGGGAGUUCCCAUUGCGGCUCAUUGGUUAACGAAUCUGAGUGGGAACCAUGAGGUUGUGGAUUCGAUCCCUGGCCUUGCUCAGUGGGUUAAGGAUCCGGCGUUGAGGUGAGCUGUGGUGUAGGUCACAGACGCAGCUCGGAUCCCGCAUUGCUGUGGCUCUGGUGUAGGCCGAUGGCUAUAGCUUCAAUUAGACCCCUAGCCUGGGAAUCUCCAUAUGCGGCCCUAGAAAAGACAAAUAUAUAUAUAUGUAUAUAUGAGCAAGGAACAAGUUACUUUGUUCAUUUGGCUGUCUUGAUUUCCUCGGUGCGAAGUUGAUAAUGGUCUGAAGUAGCCUGCCUACCCGUGGGCUCUAAUAUAUGAUUAUAAGGGGGAUACAUGUCUUCAUUCACCAAACCUUUAUGGAGGUCCCACUGUGGAGUAGGAACGAUGCUCUGCUCAGGGAGGAAAAUGGUCUAAGACAUUCCCUGAUCAUAAGGAGUCUGCGGUCUAGCAGAGUUGUUUACCAAAAGGUGGGUGAGAUGGUAGCUGUCUGGGGAAAAAAAGGUCAAAGAAGAUGAUGUAUUACUUGAAAUCGCAGUAACAAAUUGUGUUUGGCAAAGAAAUUCCAAGAAUAUUAACAUAAUUGGAGUGUUUAUGAGAAGGAAAAGUCUCAUAUUACAGCAGCAAUUUUCAAGAAGCUGAAAAAGAAAAGCUGGCAUUUAGGGGAAUGUAGAAUCUUAGACACAUUUGGAGGAGCCCUUUGAAGUUUUAGCGAGUGGAGUUCUGGUUAAUGUUUCCAUAGCAAGGCUGGGGCACAGGUUAUGAAGACAGCAUCAGGGAAACUAACACUUCAACCACUCUUGAAACAGCUGCUUAAACAGCAGGCAGGCUAUAACCCAGGUAAGAUCAGAAGACACCACAGGUGUUUUCCUGGGCCAGAAAAUGCAGGAUUCGAAUAGCUACUGAUAGGUAGAAAAUUAAAUUCUUACAAUUAAUAUUUUCAAAAAACACAAUGGUACACAAAUGUAAUGUUAUUUCCUACUCUAAGGGGGGGGGGAUGUGAACAGUCAGGGAAAGAGAGCACAAAAAGAGAAUGCAAAAAGAAGAGAGAGCUAAUUCCCACUCAAGACAAAAACUCACCACAGUGACAGGCCUGCUGAGCAAAAGCCCAUUUAGCAAGAACAACACAGACCUUCAUCUCAAAUUUUAUCAGAAGCCACUGGUCCUAGAGUAUCACUGGCGCCUACUGAAUUUUCACCAGGGAUUUAACAGAAAACAUCUGUUCUCUUACUUAAAAGUCAAUUGAUUAAAUCAACAUUUGCUUCCUUCUAUUAGAAGCAUAGCUAUUUCUCUUUUUCUUCUUUCCUGAUUCUUUUAAUAACUUACUUCUGUUCGUGAGUUAAAAUCUGGGACAGAGGUGUGUCUCUUUCUAUGCCUACACGGGGAAAUUUACUGCAGGUCAAUCUGAAACGAUGUCGGAAAUUCAUGGAUGUAAACAAUUUGAUAAAGUAAUGUUUAAUAUGUAAAUUAAAGCUUAUAUAACCACAAAAAAUGACCUCAAGCAGCAGAUACAUGUGUGAAUGUGAAUGUGAGUGUGUGUGAGUGUGUGUGUGUGUGUGUGUGUGUGUGUGUGUGUGGUGUGUGAGCACAAAUACACAAAAUUCUCACUGCCUUGCAAAAACCCUGAUCAUAAUCUCGAAGUUUUAUUUUGAAAUUUGACCUUCAUGUUUCGACUCAUUUCAGUUUUUACAAAGGAGAUUCCAUAGCAUGAGUGGAUCAGGUCUGUUUUAACUCAGGCUUUUUAAUUUGAAAAUGGAAUCUUUGUGAUGAAACUGCUGUGGUUGAAAUCCAUGUUGCCUCAUAUAUUGUUCUGAGCCACUAAGACUACUCUCCUGUAUCAGCACCCACUAAACAACGGGAUCCAUAUGAAGCAGAUCCUCAGGGAACAAGAAUAAAAAUAGCAGCCAACUGUAGAGCAUGAAUGUAGUCAUUCGCCAGACAGACCCUUGUCCAACAUCGACAACAUGCCAAGUGCUGUUCUGGGCCCUGGGGAUGCAUGGAUAAAUGACAGAGUGUUUGCUGUAAAGGAUUUCACAACUGAAUAGGGAAGAGAAAUAAACCUCCAGCCACAAUAGCCUGAGAUAAAUGCUGUGCUGAGGGACAGAUAAAGUGACAUGAGAUAACAGAGGCAAGAGGGAAUAACUCUGCCUUCAGGGAAGAUUCCCCAGAUUUGAACAAAACCUCAUGAAGGAUAAGCCCCACUGCUCACGUAUUUCUCUGACAUAUUUCUCUAAACUUGGCAAGUCAUUUCAUUGCUCUGCUCUUCAGAUUCUAUCAACCAGCCAAGAGAAUUCAUAGUAAGUCAUGUGUUUAGAAGACAAGCAGAGAAAAGUCUACUCCUAAAGCCUCGUAUAUGUAAAUUUGAAGAUUGGGGCUAGGAUGAGGAGAGUGAGAAGAAAUAGGAGUAAAAACAAAAUACAGGAGAGUGGCAUCCUUAGGAGAGAAACUGAAGAGAAACUGUUUCGCAUGCCAUUUUACCUCUUUGUCACUUUGCCAUCUUGGAUUUAUAGGCGGCAUUGCUGAAUAGGAAAAUGAAAUAAUAUGAAUAGUUAUAAUCUCCCUCUUGCCCUUCAUCAAUCAAUAGGGCAUAUAAAAAACACAAUGGUUUAAAAUUAAGGAUAAAAUUAUCCUGGCAUUAAGGCUCAGAAAUAAUAGCAUGUUGCAUAGAUUACAUUACAUACUGCACUAGCAUGUGGAAGAGAUGGGCAGGAAAUACCAGGUUAGCAAGCAGACAAGAAGAGCAACCAGAGGCCUCUGGAGAAAUUGUGCGAAUGACACUUAACUCACACAGUUGCAGUAGAGAUAAAAUAAAAGAUGCGUGUAAAACACAUAGAACAUAGCCUGGCACAGAAUUAGCAUACAAUAAAUAAUUGUUUUUAUUGUUGUCAUUUGCCACCACCUAAAAAUAUUGCUAAUAAGAAAGGAAAGUUCCUAUCCAACACUAUUGAUUUUGCAGAGGCAAACUGAGAUGAUUAGUGAGAUGGGAAGAAAACAAAAGACUUUUCUGGGGCUGCCUCACUAUUCCUAGUGCUCCAAAGCAGCUGAUAACAAUAUGUCACUCUCCGGAGGCUCCAGGGGACCAUCCACCACCCUAAGAUCUUGACUUGGCAACAUCUUUUGGUAGGUGUCAUAAUAAAAGAAUAAAGAACAAAAGUAACCUAGAAGUGUUCCAAGAGAAAUUCCACAAAAAGGAAAACAUGAAGAACUAAAAUAAGAAAACACAUAUGAAACGUAUCAACUGCUGUACCUGUGGCUACACGUUGGCCAACUGUUGGGAGUACUGGUACUGAAGGGAAUAAUACAUUAGUAAUGACUCCUGCCCAGAAAUAAUAUAAAACACAAUGCAGAAACAUACUGGCUUAAUUUGCUGAAGGAUCUUGGAACUAAAAAAGGAAAGAAAAUAGUUGUUUCCCUCCCUGGAAUGCUCCCAAACUGGUCUGUGGUUAGUAUACCACCACCCUGGCAUCUAUCACAGAACCUCUGGUCAUCUCCACAGGGUGUGGGCUGACACUUGAUAUGAGCACGGCUCAACAUGGAGAUGCACAUGGCAGAGAGAUGUAAAUGAAAGGAAUUUUGUUUUUCACAGUAGUGUCCGAGAUGGAAGAGCCAAACCAAGAAUGAGAUAAAGUAUUAUAAUCUGACAAAGCCAGCUCAAAGCUUGGGAUGCCAUCAAAGCCAAGCACAGUAGGAGAGAAAUUUCAGAUACAUAAUUCAUACAUGGAAUUGAAAAUAACAAAAAACCUUGUCAGAGCCUCCAAAAAACAGCCAAAUCACAAAAUCUUGAGCCAUUUAGAAAAUUCUUAAUGAAGCCUCAUCCAAAAGCAACUCUGAAAACGUAUGUUCCAGUAAUUUGGUGAUUUAUUCAGCCAGCCUAUGUUAAGCAACUAUCACAUACCCAAGAAGUUGCUUAAUUUGAGGAGAUGAGCUUCUGACUUGAAGGAACUUACAAUCAGAUAUGGGAGACUAGAGACCCACUUUCCAAAGCCCAGGUGGUUUGUGUAAGGGAUGUAUUUAGAUGAAGUCAUAUAGGAGGGUAUACCUCUUAUGAAAGAAGAGAUGGAGCUCAGAAAUGAAAAAAUUCAGGCAACACACAUAACUGAAGCUCAGGAGAAACUUUGCCAAGGAUAGGAAAUGAUGUACAAUUGGCCCUCCUACCCCCGGGUUCCACAUCUAAGAAUUUCAUGUCCACAGAUUCAACCAACCAAAAUUUAAAAGUAUUUGGAAAAAAAUUCAUAAAGUUCCAAAGAGCAAAACUCAAAUUUGCCUCUUGCCUGGCAACUAUUUACUUAGCAUUUACAUUGUAUUUACAACUAUUUAUAUAGCAUUUACAUUAUAUUAGGUAUUAUAAGUAAUCUGGAGAUUUUGUAAAGUAUUUGGGAGGAUGUGCAUAGCAAUCACUUCCUCUGGAAAUGUGGGCCAUUUUGGCUGGGUUAAGAUGGGUAUAUAAAUUAUUUUCUUUCUUACUAAUAUUCAGAUUCAAUAAGAAAUACCUUAGUAACAUCAAUAAGAAUCAUAGUUGGGAGGAAUAGCUCUUCCUAAAAGAACUUGCAUACAUGUAACCUAGAAAGUUGCAUGCCAGAAAGUUGUGUGAAAGUUGCUCUAUCUCUUCUCCAAAUCUAGUAAAUUCAUCUUUUUAAAAAAACACAAUCACAAAAGCAAAAAUUUGGAGUCCCCAUUGCAGCUCAACAGGUUAAGAAUCUGACCAAUAUCCAUGAGGAUGCAGGUUGGAUCCCUGGUCUUACUCAUGGGGUUAAGGAUCUGGCAUUGCUGCAAGCACUGGCACAGGUCACAGAUCCGCCUCGGAUCCCAUGUUACUGUGACUGUGGUAUAAGUCAGCAGCUGCAGCUCC
rnacentral:lncRNA from 1 species